rnacentral:lncRNA from 1 species
UUAAAAAGUAAGAUAAAUUAUAUGAGAUCUUUAAUUUGUAUAUAAGAUAAUUUUAUUUUGUUCUAAUAUCUGUGUGAUGUUAGUUUAAAAUAUUAUUUUUUAAUAUAUUGAUUUUAUAUAUUAGGUAGGUGCCCAUUCUGUUCCUAGCUUCAGAAGUUAUUUAUACCUAUGCAAUACCUUCGCUCAGGUUAAAGAAUGGAAUACUAGUCUUGCAUCAAAUAUAUAUUACAUAUCCAUUCGAUGUUUAUCACAAGAAGUUAGUUCUACCUUUGCAGUACCUCUGCUUUACAUACCUCCUCGCUGGUUAAAGAAUGGAAUAUAAAUCUCAUAUCAAGUUGGUGUAAAAAUUUAGUUCAAUAAAUUAAGAAUUUAUAAACGUUCUCAAAAUUUUGAGUGGAGCAAUUGUUUUUCUGGUUUAGCAUGAGUAUGAAUCUGAUAUCAAUUGUAUGUACAAAGAUAGUUUACUUCUUAAAGAACCGAUCAGUAAACCAACUGAUUAUAAAACAGUUUUUAAUGGGAAUAAAAACAAAUUUUCAAAAGAUUUCAAUUAGCUAUUUGUAUAUUCAAACACUUUAUUUACUGAGAGAAGAGACUAUAGAUUCAAGUGCUAUAAAAUAAUUCUACUACCAAAAGCGAGGUUAAUUCAAAAACUGAAACUCAAAUUUGGUCAUGAAUUAUUUUAUUAGACUUGGUGAGUCUUUAUUUAUUAACAACUUAACACCAUAUUAUUAGAACUGUAUGCACAGAAAAAAAUAAAUGCUUUAGCUUUAAAUGUUUUGACUAAAUAUUCCAAAAUCGAAA